rnacentral:rRNA from 1 species
AACGAACGCUGGCGGCAGGCUUAACACAUGCAAGUCGAGCGCCCCGCAAGGGGAGCGGCAGACGGGUGAGUAACGCGUGGGAAUCUACCCUUCUCUACGGAACAACUCCGGGAAACUGGAGCUAAUACCGUAUACGCCCUUCGGGGGAAAGAUUUAUCGGAGAUGGAUGAGCCCGCGUUGGAUUAGCUAGUUGGUGGGGUAAUGGCCUACCAAGGCGACGAUCCAUAGCUGGUCUGAGAGGAUGAUCAGCCACACUGGGACUGAGACACGGCCCAGACUCCUACGGGAGGCAGCAGUGGGGAAUAUUGGACAAUGGGCGAAAGCCUGAUCCAGCCAUGCCGCGUGAGUGAUGAAGGCCCUAGGGUUGUAAAGCUCUUUCACCGGUGAAGAUAAUGACGGUAACCGGAGAAGAAGCCCCGGCUAACUUCGUGCCAGCCGCCGCAGUAAAAC